rnacentral:rRNA from 1 species
GUCUAAACGACUCUCGGCAACGGAUAUCUCGGCUCUGGCAUCGAUGAAGAACGUAGCGAAAUGCGAUACUUGGUGUGAAUUGCAGAAUCCCGUGAACCAUCGAGUCUUUGAACGCAAGUUGCGCCCGAAGCCUUCUGGCCGAGGGCACGCCUGCCUGGGCGUCAC